UACGUAGGGGGCUAGCGUUGUUCGGAAUACUGGGCGUAAAGGGCGCGUAGGCGGUGUGUCAAGUCAGGCGUGAAAGCCCCGGGCUCAACCUGGGAACCGCGCUUGAGACUGGCACGCUCGAGUUCGGGAGAGGAUGGUGGAAUUCCCAGUGUAGAGGUGAAAUUCGUAGAUAUUGGGGAAGAACACCGAUGGCGAAGGCAGCCAUCUGGACCGACA
rnacentral:rRNA from 1 species